UUGACCUCAAAUCAGGUAGGACUACCCGCUGAACUUAAGCAUAUCAAUAAGCGGAGGAAAAGAAACUAACAAGGAUUCCCCUAGUAACUGCGAGUGAAGCGGGAAAAGCUCAAAUUUAAAAUCUGGCGGUUCUUUGGCCGUCCGAGUUGUAAUCUAGAGAAGUGUUACCUGUGCUGGACCGUGUACAAGUCUCCUGGAAUGGAGCAUCAUGGAGGGUGAGAAUCCCGUCUUUGACAUGGACUACCUGCGCGUCGUGGUGCGCUCUCGAAGAGUCGAGUUGUUUGGGAAUGCAGCUCAAAAUGGGUGGUAAAUGCCAUCUAAAGCUAAAUAUUGGCGAGAGACCGAUAGCGAACAAGUACCGUGAGGGAAAGAUGAAAAGCACUUUGGAAAGAGAGUUAAACAGUACGUGAAAUUGCUGAAAGGGAAACGCUUGAAGUCAGUCACGUCGGCUAGAAAUCAGCCUUGCUUCUGCUUGGUGUAUUUUCUGGUUGACGGGUCAGCAUCAAUUUUGAUCGCUGGAUAAAGUCUUUGGGAAUGUGGCAUCCUCGGAUGUGUUAUAGCCCAUCGUCGCAUACAGUGAUUGGGAUUGAGGAACUCA
rnacentral:rRNA from 1 species